CACAAAACAAAUAGGUAAAAAAAUAAGUAUUCUGUAUACAUUAGUCUAUUUGGGCUGAUACAACAAGCUAUCAUAAACUGGGUGGCUUAAGACACAUUUAUUUCUCAACAUUUUGGAGGCUUAGAAAUCCAAGAUCAAGGCUCCAGCUGAUUUGGUAUCCAAGAGGGCCCAUUUCAUAGACAGCGCCUCCUAGCUGUGUCCUCACAUGGUGAAAGAGAGAAAACACUCUUCUCUUCAGUACCUUCCAAGGUCACUAAUCCCAUUCAUGAGAGCCCCACCCUUGUGAUCUACUCACCCUCCCCACGUUCCCACAGUGAAGAUUAAAUUUCAACUUGUGAAUUCGGGGGGGGACGGACCCAAAAUCCAGUCUUUAGCAACUAAUAAGUGCUUACUUGUAAAUUUGGGCCUAAUGGCAUGGAUUAUGGAGAUGGAAUACAGUCUUGCCAGCCAAAAACACUAGGAGAUUAGGACAAUUGAAAUCUUUACUUGGAUAUAGAUUAUCCAAUAUUCUGUAGAAAAGAGCACCUCUCUAGGGAAAUUCAUUCAUUCAUUCAUUCUUCAGUUAGUGAAUCCUUACCAGACACGUGCACUGUGCUGGGAGACUUAAGGGACACAGACAUGAAUGUCAUGGUUCUUGUCUUCAAGGAAGUUCUAUCUCAGAAAGGGUGGUUAUGUAAGCUCUUUGCAGGACCUGAGUGAAGAGAGGUACAAUUCAUGGAAGUCUCUGAGAAGGUGGGGCUACCUUCUGCCUGGGAGAUUGGGGAAAUCUUUUGAAGAGCAGCAGCAUUUGAUCUGGGCCCUAAAGGCCAGCUAGGACUUGAAUGGGUCACACGUAGGGGAAAAGGGGGACAGUGCCUCAUGGAGUGAUUCUGUAACAAUGAGAAAUGAGAACUGAUAAAGAAGUUCUUCCUUUUCAGGCCCAGACAACACUGACACGAAUGGCUUUCCAGGUGGCCCUGGGCAUCACAGAACUCAAACAAUUAAGGAGAUUGUUGGAGCAAAGAUUUGGAGGCAGAAGAGGGCCAGGUCUAGUCGCUUUUUAGAAAGUCAAUGAAUCAUGAUCAGGACAAAGGACAGAGAGAAUUUUUUCUAGUUGGUGUGUAGUUUCUCAAGGAUACAAGAAAAGUAAAAUAUGGACCUUGAUUCAGUCAUGAUUCUGCUAAGCUUUUGCAUAUUAUUUAAACUUUAUGGGAUCCAUUUGUCUUGUCUAUAGAGUGGAGAUGAUAAUAUUUUGCUGAAAAGCCAAGGUGAAGACCCAGGGAAUAAUAUAUUCAGACUGAUCCCUGGAUGAGGGAGGGAAAGGCUGGCCAGCCACAUACCAAGUUCCUCAAGUUUAUGGCGCGAUUUCACUAACACAACGGCCUGGUAUACUCAACCUUUGUUCCGACACCUUCCUCCACUCCAGAGACCGGAGAGUUGCAACGCUCAAUUGAACCAGAGUGUCUUGCAGCUGGGGUCCCACAUUUGAUUUAAGUAUCAUUAAUCACUUCUACUUGCUUUGGAACUGACUUCUUGGAGAGAAGACCAUGAGGAAGGAAUGGGAACUAAGAUAAGUGGGGAGAGAGAGAACGGUCCUGGCCUCUCUUUUCCGGUAGGGGUCUCAGCAACAGAAACAGGUCUCGGAAGUAGCCACAAUCGAGGCGGCUUUCUGAUUGAGUUGCCUCCUGGUGGUGACAGAUGUGGCAUGAGCCUCACGCUGAGAACCCUGGCAGGAGAAUCCAGCCUCUCAUUCAGCACAUUUCUGAUUGCUCAAGAGGCAGCAGCUCCCGCGAUGGCCUCAUUCUGUGGUGACUUUCAGAGUUCAUAAGUCCAUUUCUUGAGGCCUCCCAAUGACUCAUGAGGACCGUACCACUAUUUUACAUGCCUAGUUGUUUAAAAUCAGCUAGUGUGGGCUCUGUUGUCUGCAAUGAAGGGCCUUAAAUGACAUAUCAGUGACCAGUUCUGGCCAAUAAAAGGACUCUGCCGAGUAGGACACUGUGUUGAAGGCAGACCGUGAAGAGGCAGUAGAUGGCAAAAGCGAGCAGGCUCCUUACAGCACAUGCAAAUCACACCCAGUGUGUGAAGUAGAAGCGAAACCAAUACCCACCUCCCCAGGGCCCCUUGCAUGAAUGGCUGGUAAGUCUGCACUGAAGCAGUUUAGCAACUGCUUUGUGUGUAAUUUGUGUUCUAGUUCCCUAAAAUCAAUCAUCUCAAGGCCUCAGAUUCCGUCUCCCAUACCCAUGCUGAUGGAUUCUCAUCCAAAAUCUGCCCUACUAUCCCCUCACUGCCUCCAAAUCACUAUCAGAAUAUUUUUCUAUUCCUCACCUACUUUCUCAGUCCAUCUGUUGGAAUCUUCUAUUGCUGUUUCUUCUACCCUGGGCCCUUUGGGAGCCAUCGCAGGAUUUCCCUGUCCUUUCCUUCCCCUUCUUGGGUGACAGCAGGCUUAGUUUUCUCAACUCACUACAGGAUGCAACAUUCAUGUCCUCACCUAGUGGCCUGGGUCUGCUUAGGCCUCUCCCUCAGCACAGGUCUCUGGACUUCACCUUCCUUCCUUAUCCCUGCUCUACUCUGUUCUCAUGGAAACUUCUAGAAACUAGUGCCUCCGCUUUUCCCUUUUCUGUCCUAUCCACCCUUGACUCUGUGCCAGCCUCACCUUUCCAGAUGACUCAACCUGGCCUCUUUGCUCAGUGCUUCAUUCCAGGUUUCCCUGGGUCACCUCUAGCAUCUGCUUUCUCCAAACCACACUUACGGCACAGGCCCUUGUGGAGAAAGUAUAAAGAACUAAAAGUUUCUACUGUUCAGCUUCAUAUGAGCUCCUACCUCUAUCCCACUUUUUUCAGUGAGCACUUUCUCAGUGGCUUUGAUGACUUCUCUACUUGAAUCAAACCCUUGGUCCUCUCACAGCAUUGCCAUUCUUUGAAGAAGGCCUUGCAUCUGAGAGAGGCCAGAAACCUUUCCUGGACCUUCUCACCAUCCUGCUCACCCCAACAUGCUUCUCCUUCAACAACAGGCAUCUCAGAUCAAGCGUAUGACAGUGAAGUUUGUCAACUUGAUUGUUCUGGGAGAUUCCUAGGGGAUUUGUAGUGAAGCACACUCUUGGAAGUGGCUGGGUGGGUCACGAAGGCAAGACCUUUGAGUCUAUAUCCCUGGCCUCUUCCUUUCUGGUGAUGUUCCCUGUUCUGCUUCCUGAUUGCCAUGAACUGAGCAGUUUCCCUUCACUAUGUCUUUCCACCCCAUGAUGUUCCUACUUUGGAUCCAGCAGACCAUGGACUGAAUCUCCCGAAACUGUGAGCCAAAUAAAUCUCUCCUCCUUUGAAUUGCAGGUAAGUAUUUUGUACCCACAGUGAGAACUGAUUAACACAGAAUAUCUCUCAAUGCACCAUUUCUGACCCUUUCAGCCACACUAGCUGCCCCUGUGAUGAUUAGCUAUAUGAUGGGUCUGAGAAGCUGCACGUAGUAGCAACCUGCAAGUUCGUCAUGCCCCCUACCCUAAGGCUUCUCUGUGAUGAGAGACACCCCAUAUGCAUCCUUGAAAUCCUCACAAGUACAACCUGGAGGUAUUGGGAACUAUUAGAGUUUAGAUCUAAAAUGUUCCCCUAAGUCUCAUGUUUGGAGGUGAGGACUGGUCAGAGAGACUGGGUCACAGGAGGCGUGACCUGGAAGGAUGUAUUCUCAUCUCUGGCUCCUCUCUUCAGUCUCUGCUU